rnacentral:rRNA from 1 species
UACGUAGGCAGCAAGCGUUGUUCGGAAUUACUGGGCGUAAAGAGUCUGUAGGCGGUGCUUUAAGUUUGGUGUGAAAUCUCCCGGCUCAACUGGGAGGGUGCGCCGAAAACUGGAGUGCUCGAGUAUGGGAGAGGUAAGCGGAAUUCCUGGUGUAGCGGUGAAAUGCGUAGAUAUCAGGAGGAACACCUGUGGUGUAGACAGCUUACUGGACCAUCACUGACGCUGAGAGACGAAAGCGUGGGUAGCAAACAGG